rnacentral:misc_RNA from 1 species
CGCACAUUGCGCCCCCUGGCAUUCCGGGGGGCAUGCCCGUUCGAGCGUCAUAUAACACACCUCACGCCUGGCGUGGUAAUGGGCCCUGCCGACCGGCAGGCCUCAAAUUCCGGUGGCCAUUAAUUAGUAAAUGGGGAGUCCUAUAGCAUGGUGCCGCAAAUAUCGACAAAUAUAUGCAGCGCGUAGUUUGUACACCCCUGCCACUUUAACUAGUAUCGGGAGACCGAACACACAAGUUUGACCUCGGAUCGGGUAGGAAUACCCGCUGAACUUAA